CUCGUAGGCGGCCAACUAAGUCGGAUGUGAAAUCCCCAGGCUUAACCUGGGAACUGCAUCCGAUACUGGAUGGCUUGAAUCCGGGAGAGGGAUGCAGAAUUCCAGGUGUAGCGGUGAAAUGCGUAGAUAUCUGGAGGAAUACCGGUGGCGAAGGCGGCAUCCUGGACCGGCAUUGACGCUGAUGAGCGAAAGCUAGGGGAAGACAAACG
rnacentral:rRNA from 1 species